rnacentral:rRNA from 1 species
GUUGAACACUGGCGGCAGGCCUAACACAUGCAAGUCGAGCGGAUGAAGGGAGCUUGCUCCUGGAUUCAGCGGCGGACGGGUGAGUAAUGCCUAGGAAUCUGCCUGGUAGUGGGGGAUAACGUCCGGAAACGGGCGCUAAUACCGCAUACGUCCUGAGGGAGAAAGUGGGGGAUCUUCGGACCUCACGCUAUCAGAUGAGCCUAGGUCGGAUUAGCUAGUUGGUGGGGUAAAGGCCUACCAAGGCGACGAUCCGUAACUGGUCUGAGAGGAUGAUCAGUCACACUGGAACUGAGACACGGUCCAGACUCCUACGGGAGGCAGCAGUGGGGAAUAUUGGACAAUGGGCGAAAGCCUGAUCCAGCCAUGCCGCGUGUGUGAAGAAGGUCUUCGGAUUGUAAAGCACUUUAAGUUGGGAGGAAGGGCAGUAAGUUAAUACCUUGCUGUUUUGACGUUACCAACAGAAUAAGCACCGGCUAACUUCGUG